rnacentral:rRNA from 1 species
UGGAUUCGGUAGUAAUCGCGUGUCAGCAGCGCGCGGUGAAUACGUCCCUGCUCCUUGCACACACCGCCCGUCAAAGCACCCGAGUGGGGUCCGGAUGAGGCUUGGUCACCCAAGUCGAAUCUGGGCUCCGCAAGGGGGCUUAAGUCGUAACAAGGUAGCCGUAGGGGAAUCUGCGGCUGGAUCACCUCCU